rnacentral:antisense_RNA from 1 species
UUUCUUUUCUUUUCUUUUUUCUUUUUUUUUUUUUUUUUGAUGGAGUAUCACUCUGUCAUCCAGGCUUGGAGUGUACAGUGGCGCAAUCUUGGCUCACCGCAACUUUGCGUCCCUGGUUCAAGCGAUUCCUCCGCCUCGGCCUCCCAAGUAGCUGAGACUACAGGCACAUGCCACAACGCCCAGCUAAUUUUUAUAUUUUUAGCAGAGACAGGGUUUUGUCAUGUUGGCCAGGCUGGUCUUGAACUCCUGACCUCAGGUGAUCCACCUGCCUUGGCCUCCCAAAGUGCUGGGAACACAGGCGUAAGCCACCAUGCCCGGCCUCAAGAAUCUGUUCUUCAUGGGUUAUCUACUGUUUCAUUACAACAAUCAUCUGGUGAGUUAGGUAUUAUCCCCAUUUUAUACCCAGAGAAACUAAGCCUUAGAAAGGUAACUAAGGAUACACACACACAGAGACACUUUUAAUACGUAGAUAGGAUAUUACGGCAUUUACUACACUAUGAGUCAUCAUCAGCUUCCCUGCUAGACUGCGCACUUUGUAAGAA